UCCAGACUCCUACGGGAGGCAGCAGCCAGGAAUCUUGCGCAAUGGGCGAAAGCCUGACGCAGCAACGCCGCGUGGGCGAUGAAGGCCUUCGGGUCGUAAAGCCCUGUUGUCGGGGACGAAGGGCGAAGGGUUAAUAGCCCCUAGCCUGACGGUACCCGACGAGGAAGCCCCGGCUAACUACGCGCCAGCAGCCGCGGUAAUACGUAGGGGGCGAGCGUUGUCCGGAAUCAUUGGGCGUAAAGAGCGUGUAGGCGGCCCGGUAAGUCCGCUGUGAAAACCCGGGGCUCAACCCCGGGCGUGCAGUGGAAACUGCCGGGCUAGAGGGCGGCAGAGGCGAGUGGAAUUCCCGGUGUAGCGGUGAAAUGCGCAGAUAUCGGGAGGAACACCGGUAGCGAAGGCGGCUCGCUGGGCCGUUCCUGACGCUGAGACGCGAAAGCUAGGGGAGCGAACAGGAUUAGAUACCCCCGUACGC
rnacentral:rRNA from 1 species